rnacentral:misc_RNA from 1 species
AAGUCGUAACAAGGUCUCCGUAGGUGAGUAACAGUCGAUUUUCUCUGUUUUACGAUCCCAUGUUUCGGACCAAAUACUAACUGUCGUGUCCAGGUGAACCUGCGGAGGGAUCAUUACGAGAGCUCCGAGAGGAGCGCUUCAAACCCGCGAACGUACUCUUGUUGCCUCGGUGGGCGGUCUCAGGGGAGACCUGAUGCCUCGGGGAGGUGUCCACCGAAGGACCAUUUUACUCUUUUUGUCACGUCUCUGAGAGCAAAAGAAAACAAUCAAAACUUUCAACAACGGAUCUCUUGGUUCUG